GACGAACGCUGGCGGCGUGCUUAACACAUGCAAGUCGAACGGUGAAGCUCCAGCUUGCUGGAGUGGAUCAGUGGCGAACGGGUGAGUAACACGUGAGCAACCUGCCCCUUACUCUGGAAUAAGCGCUGGAAACGGCGUCUAAUACUGGAUACGAGAAGGGUCCGCAUGGGCACUUUCUGGAAAGUUUUUCGGUUGGGGAUGGGCUCGCGGCCUAUCAGCUUGUUGGUGAGGUAAUGGCUCACCAAGGUGACGACGGGUAGCCGGCCUGAGAGGGCGACCGGCCACACUGGGACUGAGACACGGCCCAGACUCCUACGGGAGGCAGCAGUGGGGAAUAUUGCACAAUGGGCGAAAGCCUGAUGCAGCGACGCCGCGUGAGGGAUGACGGCCUUCGGGUUGUAAACCUCUUUCAGCAGGGAAGAAGCGAAAGUGACGGUACCUGCAGAAGAAGCACCGGCUAACUACGUG
rnacentral:rRNA from 1 species